CCUACGGGGGGCUGCAGUCGAGAAUCAUUCACAAUGGGGGAAGCCCUGAUGGUGCGACGCCGCGUGGGGGAAUGAAGGUCUUCGGAUUGUAAACCCCUGUCAUGUGGGAGCAAAUUAAAAAGAUAGUACCACAAGAGGAAGAGACGGCUAACUCUGUGCCAGCAGCCGCGGUCAUACAGAGGUCUUAAGCGUUGUUCGGAAUCAUUGGGCGUAAAGCGUGCGUAGGCUGUUUCGUAAGUCGUGUGUGAAAGGCGCGGGCUCAACCCGCGGACGGCACAUGAUACUGGGAGACUAGAGUAAUGGAGGGGGAACCGGAAUGCUCGGUGUAGCAGUGAAAUGCGUAGAUAUCGAGAGGAACACUCGUGGCGAAGGCGGGUUCCUGGACAUUAACUGACGCUGAGGCACGAAGGCCAGGGGAGCGAAAGGGAUUAGAUACCCUGGUAGUC
rnacentral:rRNA from 1 species